GAAACACCUCUGUUCGACUAAUCACUUUACACCACAAUGGACACUCUUUUACGGGUAUUUAGGAAUUAGAAACUAUCAAUAUUGUAGGCAAAAAAAGCCUGUAAAGUUAUAUAACUUUACCUUGUGAAGCGGCUAACGUUUUAGCUAAAUAUAGCCUGUUGAACACGACAUGGAGCAACAUUAGCAGACAUUUUGGAGUCGUAUGUUUGGCCACCUGCUGAAUAGGGCAGAGGAGAGGAGGGAGGAGAAAACUGCUUCAGUGCACUAAUGUCCCUGAAACCUGAACCCUUAUUGGAUCUGAAGGGCAUUACACGACAGGCAUCCUCUGUCCACACCCUCUGUUAAAGGUGAGGAUUAAAGGGAUUGCUUUCAUUCAGGGAAGGAGAAGCGAAAAAGCCUCGGAGCAGAGCCCACUCCAGCUCAGCCCUUCUCCCUGUGUGCCUGUCCCCUCGUCUCCGCUGCCGGGCUGAUUGACCAACCCCUCCGACAGACCGGCUGCCGGCUCGCCCCGGACGGCUCCCUCGUACCCGUGCCUGUUACCGCGCUGUAGCCAAGCACUGCUAGCUGCCUCGUGGCCUCUGACGUUUGCGUGGAAAAGAGAGGAUGUGCUCAACCUUCCUGUUCUACACCUGUGUUCACGCUCUGGGGUCUUGACCCUCCUAAAAAAAAGAAACACUCGAGGGAUUGAUCCAAGUAUUGGAUCGCACAUAAAGCUGCAGUUACUGGAUAUUACCCUGCCGCUAUCGGCCUGCAGUGAUGGCCUGGAUAAGAAGUGCUUACCAAAGAGGAUGCUCCUUCAGGGCAGAUACGGUUUCCCAGCCCUCUGGGAACAACAACCACAUGCCUGCUGCUUGCUCAGGAACUUUCUACCUCAUCGAGUAAAUCCAGGGGCCUUAUCAAGUUACUGGCCUACUGAACUGCUCAAAAAAGAUGUUUAAACCACCUCAGAUUUUGAGCUGUGUCGGGGCAUCGCAGUCAUUAAAUGG